UGUGGGGGGGGGGGGGGGGGGGGGGGUCGUGGCUGCUACAAGUCCCUUAAGGACGGAUCCUGACGAGUAUUUCAAACGGCACGUGAUCCACAAGGAGAGAGUUAGAUGAGGUGGCGGAAAUAUGCUAGGAUGCUACACAGAGAGAACGGACAGCGUUUUGCUUUCUAUACCCCUACUUCAGAGGUGUGGGUGGUAUCGUCCUUGUCUGUGCUGAGUUGCUAACACGGGAAACCUGGAAACCUGACAGCCAUGUGAGUACUAUAUCACUAUAAACGGCAACAUCUAUUUACCAACCUUUAUUUUCUUACGACUAAAAACCGACUGCUGAGGAAGGAAACUGUAAAAAAACAAACAAACAUUAUCAGAAUAUAUUUAAGGUCCAGCUGCGAGCCUCUCGGACAUGCUGAGCGUAGCCUUGAGUUUGUGGAUACAGUGUUUCCUCGGCAGUUCGCCUAAGAGAGGAGAUAUCUAAUCAAUAACCUUGAGGACGAUGUGAACGAUGUACGCUACGGUUACACGCAGCUGUGCCGCACUCACGUCUGCUAUUACUCAACAUGUGACUUAUAUGAGGGUUGUAGCUUCAUCACUCUCUGUUGUACUUAGAGAGAAUAUAGCGCUUCGGUUAAACCGGUGACGAUGCAGAUGAGAUCAUACAAGUGGUGUAAGUUUCGUUUCAACUGUUGGUGGGGAUGAAGGACUGAUUGCACCCAAUCCAUCGUAUCAUUAAAGUUUAUUAAAAAGUACUCGAUAUUAACAAUAAAGUUUACAUUUAUGGCAUCUGGCAGACGCGCUUAUCAAGAGCGACUUAUAUUUAUCUUUCAUACAACUGAGCCAUUGAGGGGAUUUGAACUCACAACCAUCUGAUCAGUAGUCCAAUGUCUAAACCACUGAGCAGGGAACCAGUAAAGUUAUUUUUUGCUUAGGAUAGUGUAUAUUACACUAAAGAAUGUGCCGGUAAUUCAGUACGCAAAAUAUUAGCAAUUUAACUCUCACUAGUAGGGGAUGCAUCAAUACCAUUCGGUUUUUUUUUCAGAAAGAGUGCAAGUACAUGUGUUUUGGUACUCAAUGUAACCUGAGCGUGCAGAAUAUUAUCAGUGAGCCAUGAAUCUCAACAACUCAAGUGUAGAUCUUAGCGAGUGAAAAGGAAGGAAGCUCGCGUACUCAGUGAGUACUCAGUGCUCGCACGACUGAAGUGCUCUCACACACGACGAUUAAGAUGCUUUAUCAGGUUUUUUGUAUUCCAGAAAUAUGUACAGAUCGCUGUAAUUUCAUGUCAUUAGGAACUUGUGAACUCAACAGGAACUUAUUUAACCUUAGCAUAAGGAAACAUUAAAGACUGAGUCCAAGAUUGUAAUAUUGAAUAAACUGCAUCCAAUUCAUUUGUAAUUGUUAUUAAAAAAUACUGACGAUUUUCUGAUAUAAAUAAGAAAAUUGUAUUGUGUAAUUUAUCAUGAUAUAGAUAUUAUAUACUUAUAAUACUCAGCCCUAUUCAUAGCUACUAAAUAAUUAGCCAUGCUAGCAUCCAUCCUUCCAUUUUACAAACCGCUUAUCCUACACGGGGUCACGGGGGAGCCUGGAGCCUAUCCCAGGGCACAAGGUGGGGGACACCCUGGAUGGGGUGCCAAUCCUACACACAUUCACACACUACGGACAAUUCGGAAAUGCCAAUGAGCCUACAAUGCAUGUCUCUGGACCGGGGGAAGAGUACCCAGAGGAAACCCCAGAAGCACAGGGAGAACAUGCAAGAACUGCGCACACAGGGUGGAGGUGGGAUUCGAAUCCACAACCCCGGAGGUGAGAAUGAACGCCAAACGGUGACGUGGGAUUAUUUACUAACUUCCAGGAACAUACAAGUCUUUCCUGAUGAGACCCCCUGCACUCGAAAGAAGACAGGAUGACUACAGCUCUCCUUGACUGAGAACGAGAAACCGAACAGAGACAGGGUGACAGGGGUCAUCGUAACCGACAGCCCGGCCCCAAACAAUAGAAAAGUGGCAAACACAGGAAGAGCACAUCUGCCAGAGAGAGUGGACAGAGAGCACGGAGCCAAAUGGAGAGAUGACAGCUGAGAAUAAAAUAAGCCUCUCAAAAAAAAAAGAAAGAAAGAAAACAAAUUACAUAAUAAUAAAUAAUAAAAAAAAUAGUUUUAAUUCUUUUUGUUUUUACAAAUAUAACAAAUAUUCUCAUUCAAAUACACAGAAUGGCUUUUAAACAUUUGAAACAUUCUUCUUCUCCUUUGUCUUAUUAUUAUUAUUAUUAUUAUUAUUAUUACAACUUUACUAUUAUAUAAAUAAAAAUGAUAACUGUGAACUAAUAUACACAGUUAAUAUAUCCCCCAUUCAACUACAAUGAGUACAAAAUAUAUAUAACAUAGAGUAAUAAUAAAGCUCUUUUAUAAUAAUUAAGGAAUUGGCCUUUUAUUAAGGAUUUAUUUGAUAUUGUAUAUAAAAUGUGAAAUAUGCAUUUUUAAACAUUACAAACGAAACAUUAAUAAAGUUAUUAUGCAACAAUUAUUUUUACAUGAAUAAUAACUAUCUUACAUGAAUAAUGAAUAGUCAUGAUAAAAAUAGAAAUAUGUCAUAAUGCUUAUGGUUAAUACUGUUACGGUUAAUACUGUGUGUGUGUGUGUGUGUGUGUGUGUGUGUGUGUGUGUGUGUGUGUGUGUGUGUAUAUACAUUACAGUUAUAGAUGACUGGCUUUCACACACACAAGCAGUGAAGCACAUAUAGAAUGUGGAGUGAUCGAUAUAUGAGGGCCAGAGAUAUGCUAUAGGGAAACUGUAAACUGAGACCCACAUACACACUCACACACAUACACACACACAGUUCUGUUUUCUGUACACACGCACACACAUACACACACACACACACACACACACAAAGUUCUGUUUUCUGUACACACACACACACAAUUCUGUUUUCUGUACACACACACACACACACACACACACACACACACACACAAGGUGCAAAGUGCUGACCAUGCGUCUCACUUUUCCAUGUCUAUAUGUUCCAUAUGUUCUAACGCCCUCCAGGAGGACCUGUAUUACAAACCAGACAAACACCAUGAAAUAAUGAACUGCCACUAAUAUUAACAUAGUAAUAAUAAUAAUAAUAAUAAUAAUAAUUUUGGCAAAGUACUGAUGUGCUACACUACAAGCAAAGUAGAGCUCGUAAAUCUAGGUACCAGCAUAUUAUACUGUUUUAUUGUUGAAAACCACAACCUUAAAGAUGGUGCUGGUGUCCUGUUCUGCAUCACACUCAGAAUACGGCAUCAGACAUACACCAGGUCUCUUAUCCUGCUGCUGCCAAGCUAAACAGCAUUGACAUCUACAGCAGGUACAUGACAAGGGGUGGGCGAUGUGGCCGAAAUGGAAAUAUCACUGCGCUUUUUCAGACUACACAAUGUGUGUCAUGAGAUUGAGGUUUUCCUGAUAUUUGAUAACAAGAUGCGGAGUAGACCAAACAGCAAAACAGUUAAAAGCCUGUUCGAGUAUUUAAAAAAUAACAUCUCACUGAGCUGAAAGCCAACGCUCGCUGUAAUACAUCUUUAGUUGCUUAAUGUUGUUUAUACCACAGCACUCGAAUUCUCAAAGCUGAUUGGUCACAAGUUGAUUCAUUUUCUAUGACGAGCUCUGGCUGUAGUAGUUCUGGCUGUAAGGCAAAUCAUAGGUUUAUGUUAAUUCUAAUACAAUAUAAUAAUUCUAUAGUAACAACUAUAAAAGGGACUUGUAUAGUUGUUAUUUAACAAAGACAAAUGUAUAAUCGUUGAUAUGCUGACGUUAUCCUCAGGUUUAAUGGAAGGAGUCUCCAGUGUCGGCAUUGUAACAGUCAGAGGUAUAAUCUCUAGACUUUGCGUUUUCCAGUUUCUCUGCAACAUGACAAGCGAAAUCUUUUUGUCUUAUUAACUUCGGGAGAUAAAAGAGAUUUUGGUAAAGGAAUGACUGGUUAUAGCUACUAUAAUAAGUGAUAACAGGAACUAACUUGUUCUAUGGACGUUUCACAACAUUUAUUGUAAUUAUAAACGUGUAUAUAUAUAUUAGAGCUGCGACAAUUAAUCAAUAAAAUCGAUAAUAAUCGAUUAUGAAAAUUUUUGUCAACGAAUGUCAUUAUCAUUUAGUCACUCUGCGUGUGGCACGGGGUACAUUUACUCACUACGUUACUUCUGUUCCGGAAACAUGCUUCGGAGAUUAAAUAUUAAAGUUGCGCCCCGAAUGACAUACUAUACACUUACACUAUGCACUGUGUACACUACCGUCUAGUGUAUGAAUUUUACAAAGGUAACAUCAUCUAAAAAAGAAAACUAGCUGGUUUUUUUACUAACCGGAAGUAUAAGCCGCUUCCUAGUCGACGGCGCAUGACGUCAUACGCACGUAAUGUGACGCAGCUAGCUUCAGCAGCCACCCAGAGUCACUGACAAUUACUUUCUUCAGUUUACUGAUUAUAUACUUAGUUACAUACUUAGUUUAUAUCUAAGUAUUUAUGCAUAAUUUUUUAUGGAUGCACAAAAAGCACUGAAUUAAACUACAGUCCUAAAUGAAUAAUAUAUAUUCUGGUGUGUGUGUGUGUGUGUGUGUCUAUUGGGUUCUUUUCAGUCAUAUAUAAUUGGACAAACAGUUGUGUAAAGUUUAGACUGAAGUUUAUAUUUGUAACACUCAAUUUGUGGAUUUUAUUUUAAAUAAAUGAAAAAACGGAAGGUUUGCCCCCAUCCGAUUAUUCGGAAUAUAUAUAUAAAAAUGACAUUUCAGGGUGUACUGUUAUUGGUAAAUAAUCAACUCUGAGAUGGUAACAGUAAGUCGUUUUCACCCCACCACCCCACUGUUGAUUGUUUUUCAAUAUAAUUUAUCACCAUAAUGACAACAUUUCAUAAUCGCCCACCCUUCCCUUACCUUAGAUCUCACACAGUUACCUAGUUUCAGUGUGAUCGCUCUACACUGUGGCUUUACUGUAAACCGAUAACACCCGUGCUGAUGCUUGCAGAGCCCCCUUGGGAUUGUGGGUAAGGGAACAAUGGCGGCAGUGUUCCUCCCCUCAGCCCCCGUCCCCAACCCCAGGGAAGGCCACAGGAAUGCGCCAGCAUCUGGUCCUACCCUUAGGUAAACACAUCCCUCUCUUUCUCCAACGCUCCACCAUUAAAAUCCGCCCCGCUGAGACGUUAGGACCCUUUCACAAUAAACAUGACUUUGUUCUUUUAAACUCCUCCCACGUGGUAAAUAUUACUUUAUGUCUAAAGAGAGCACCAGUGGUUGAAAUGCUCUGGAAUUAGAUAUGGUUUCUGAAGAAAAAUAUAAAAACGAUGGAACAUGGAGUUAUGAAAUUACUGAAGUUUGGGAGAAAAAAAAGACGCCUUCUUCCUGGUUAACGUCCUAUAAAUUCCCAUCUCUUUUUCUACUUGUGACAAAAGUUUACACACCCACCACCUCCCCACCGCUUCCCUACUCUUCAGCAACUCCUAUUUGAGACAUUUUUUUGUGUGAGAUUGAGGUUCUCAUAGUUCUCUUCCAAUUUUUUUACAGUCAAUCUCGCAAUCACUCUUUGCGUUAUUAAGUCGAAACAUGUCGUAUUAUCUGGAUUCACCAACCUAUUUUUAGCAGUGUCAAGUGAAUGACAUAUUUAACCGGCAGUCAAUUUGGAAGCAAAAAAAUCAGUAGCAAGCCAUCUGGAUUCUUGAUAAAGUUGAUAACUAGACGAUAUACAAUGAUGGGUGUCUAUGGUAGUACGGUGCUCAUUUUCCAUUGUAUUCCAUUUGUGUUUUUGUUUAAAUACGCUAAAAAUGGAAUCGGGAAAACGUGUAAGUGAAUUGAGAAAUGUUUUUGGUUAAAUGUUUAAUGAAGUAAGAAAUGUUAGAAUUCUUUUUUCAUUGGAACCAUCUAGAUCUAAUCUAAUUGGAAAAGGCCAACAACUUUAUCACUCUAAUUAGGCACCGUUUUACAGUUAAUACUAAUGCUGUCUAGGAGUUUAUAAUCUAUAGGCACAACAGAUUUAAAUAAAGCACUCAUUUAGACUUUGAGAGCAAGCAGUUAAUAAGACUUAGUUUCCUCUAUUUAAUUCUGUAUCAUUUUGUUUGGUCUGUGGGUCUGUAAUAAAACAUAAGGAACUCCAGGGGUUCAAAAUGUUUUGAGUAGCAGCGUAUGUACCUGAUAAAAGAGCUCAUUGAAAAAAAAAAACUUUAUCAUAAAAAUCCAAUAUUAAAAAUCCUUGUGUAAUUAUUACAUGAAACCCAAAAUUUUCACCAUGAUGACCUUUCAUGAACAUUUUGGGUCACCUUGUGCUCAGUGUACUGACGCUGAGAACAAAAGGUUAGUCUCUAGGCAGAUUGGACAGCGGUGUCUCAGCAUGGCUAUAAUGAUUACAAAGCGUAUUGAUUUAUUGACUAUAGCCAAACAAACCACACCCAUACACAGAAAAAUCCCUGGAUGGACUCAAUGCUAAAAAAAAAAAAAAAAAGGAAGACCAUGCAAAUUGAAAUGCAAGGCAGAUUAAAGGAGGAGUGUGUGUUUGUGCUUGUGUAUGUGUGUGUGCAGUCCAGAAAUGACUUCCUUUCCCUCUCUUUCUCUGGGAUGUAUCCGCAUCCUGAGACUCGGCAGAACGAAAUUCCUUAGACGUCAUGUGUGUUAAAUACGUGAUGAGGGCCAAUGAGGUCACAGCAUCGUGUUCAGGAGCGGUCUCCUUUUCAACUUCUGUGCGUAGGUCCAAAAUGAAUUGAAAAAAGCGAAACAAAAAGAGGACUCGUCUAUGCGUUUGGAACAAAAGAUCCGACUCGACAGACAGAAUAAUACAUGCAUAUCAUCUAAAAUGAUCCCUUUUCUCUAAAAUACUAGACCAAAUAUGUACACGCUCGUGUUUUCCACGAGUCACUAGAUUAUGUUAACAUUGUACUGUACUGUAUAUUUGCCUUCCAUAUUAAACAUGACAAACCGGCAGCUCUUGCAGCGAGAAACAUUGGCACUCACUUCUCAAAGAAUAUAAAUGAGGGAAGGAAGACGUCUCAGUGGGAAAACGGCAGUCUUGUGAGGAACACGGCGCUGCUGGUCAGGUUCCUGGAUUACGAUGUGUCACUGCACGUUCAGCUGCGAUUAAUUAGGCCAAAAUUUGUUUGAAAAGGUAUUCCACUAGGCUGGGCUGACAUGCAGGAACAAGUAAGAGAGUUAAAUGGUAUUAUACCAUGGUGCUGUUGAAUGCUGGAUUCUGAUUGGUCAAAAGGUGUUGAUUCAUUUUCUGUAAUAGCAGCUCUGACAGUAGUUCUGGCUGCAAGUCUUCGAGUAAUGCUCUUGUUCUCUUCUAAUACGUUAUCGUUUGUCCUAAUCGUAUAGCAGGAGUCGUAUAGCGGGCGGCAUGCGUUUUUCUGUAAGGAGAUGUUUAUUUAACAUCUCCAGUGUCAGCGCUUUGUAAAACUCAGAGGUAAAGUUUUCCUUACAUGAAGGACUUCAGGACAGAGACGUUUACGUUUACCUUUCGCACUUUCUUGAUAACCAGUGAGGCUUUUUGCCUUAGUAACUUCAAAGAGGAAUGUUUAUAGCUGCUAUAACGUAAGUGACAAGGGCAAAUUGUCUAUAAGAUUCAACAUUACCAUGAAAAAACGAAAACAUGCUGUUCUAGGAAAAUGAUCAACUUCAGGGUGGUAACUGAAACGAUUUGCAUUGGGCUGCAUUACCGCUGUUAUUGAGUAUGAAUUGCAUCAUUGUUUUGGUUGACCCAAUGAUCCAAGACUAAAAGCGAAUUCCAUGUUGAAUGUAUGCUGGUACUAAGGUUGCACGGUAUUGUUAUUUCAAUACUGGUUUCUGCACCACUGUCAUCAGCAGGGAAAACCGCAUGGGUGUUUUGACGUUUAAUUGUAGCAUACGGAAAUAAAACUUCAGGUGAGACGUGUAGAAUCACAAUCACGGUAUAGCGAUAGACACAUGGAGCGGCUUGAAUUUCACUCUUAGCUGCACUUUACUACACCAAGUGUGGACAUGAUAUAGUGUUCUUGUGCACGGUCCGUUAAGUGGUGAGUUGUGCUCUUAUGUGGUGGAGAAAAUUUUUCCUGGUAUGUCUGUGCAAUGCCACUUAAUAGAAAUAGAAAUAAUAUUUCACACUGUUAAGAAAGCAGAACACUUCGGUAUAGUUUUCAUGCUCUGCUGCUCUGGAGAGUUCAGCAAACACGAUGUUCUGUUAAUGCAUGCUUCAGCGAAAGCAAAAUGAAAGUUCUGCUCACUCUUGUCUCUCCACAAUGGAGCAAAUGGAGCGCUGAUUCCGCCUGGCGUCUCCAUUCGUUUUUCGUUUGGGUUCGUUCUCACUUUCUUUCACACACAAAGCAGAUUUUCACCUCGCCAUUUUCCCACUCAUGCUGCUUCACAGCCAAGGCUCAAACAGCUCCAUUCUGUUUCUUUGAGUCACUUCCACCGGUGACACUAACAACUCCAUUCAACUGUUUCUCCAUUGCUGGAGCAAAGGGUCAGACUGCACAGACAGGCCAUGACACCCACUGAGUAAAUCAUGCUGGGAAAAAGGCUGGGAACUCGGCACACACAUAACAUGCCUUAGGCUGACAGAGAAUCUUCUAGAGUUCUGUGUCUGUGCUCGGAGACCAUGGCCCCGCCAACAGCUGAACAGACGGCCAUGGACUGAGCCAGGCUGCAAGAAGUGGCGGACUGGCAGGGCUGCAUGUGGAGGGCUUCAACAUGGAUCCUGGAAGAUCCCCCACAGCAUGCUCGCAGAAGAACAGCUGAGGCAUCUCCAGGAGGCUCUAAAAGUCCUAGUCCGCUAACAAGGACUGUUGAUUCACAUUAUCAUGAAAACUAAAAUAUAUGCACUGGAAAGGGUACUUUGGUUCAUCCCUUGAGGUUCUAUGGGGUUCGUACCGUUUCUUUGUGAAAUAUAAUUUAUUUUUAAAUCUACCAGAAUUUAUUUUUUCAUCUGAAAGAUAAAGAAGUUUAAAGAUAACUAUAGAACCGUCUUGAUAGGGUCUUCCUCCAGUAAAAGAAUGUCAUUUUUUUCCCUAAAAAGGUUGUGUAAAUUUCCAUAGUGGAUCUCAGUGACUUUAAAUGUCAUAUAUUACAGACAUUUCAGACAUGUAGAUGAUGUAGAACCCUACACCAGAGAGUUUUCAGAAAAGGUUCCAAGCAGAAAUCGUUUAGAAAGAAAUCUAUUAACCAUAGAAAGAAACCUUGAUGAAUCCUUUGUUCUAUAUACUGUAUAUAAACACCCAGUCACUGACCUGUCACACUUUUUUUACCCCCAAAUCAGGAUUUUGGCCAAUUCGCUCCCACUAGCUAGCUCGCAUUCUAUGUCACAGGAAACUGAGCACUUGUAGGAAAAUACUAACUGCCCUCUUCUGCAUACACAAGCUCACAGAUGCACACAGCUGUCACUCUGAUUGACAGGGGAGACAGUAAUUCCAUGGUUUGCAGUUCUCUCUCUUGGACUUCCGGCCAUGAAAUUGUCAUCUCUCAAUGAUAGGAACACUUUUCUGUUGCGCCACUUGAAUAGAGUUCUGCAAAAAUGAGUCCUAAAACCCGGAAAUGAGUUAGCAUUUUAGCACUAAAAUAAUUGAUGGAAACAUCCUACUGGAUUUUUGUCGAGGGAACCAAGGUGAUGCUAACUUCUGGGUUGGCCUACAAAAAUGCAUCAUUUUUGUAGCACUCUAUUGUCUAGCGAUUGGCAGUAUAAGCAACAAUUUGCAUUUCUUUUCCAUAAUAGAAGCGUUUUUGGUAGUUUAUCUUUUUUAAACUGUUCCAGUAAAGAGUUAAUUGGACACACCCAUCGUCCAAGUGGAGCCAUCCAAGAAAUAUUCAUAAUUCAAUUUUGUUAUGAAGUUGUUAUGGUUGCACACAUAUCCAGAAUAAUCCGGAUUUUCCCUUGUGCGACCUGUAAGCUGUAGGCCAGCCGUGUGCAUUAUACACUGUCUGGGAUGCUCUGGUUUGUUUCUACAUGUUGGCAAUAGAAGUAGAUAUGGCCCAUUUGUCUUGGCUGAUAUAUACUGUCCUGAGAGUCUGGGGAAAGUGUUAGCGAAGCUUAGGAUCUUUUCUAACUGUGUAGUAAUAUUCAGCGCACCAAGUCAAGGGUAAAUUUUAAUAUAUUUAUGCAUGAUUAAACAAAUCAGUAUAUCUUUCCUGAGAAUAUACGUUUGUAUGACUGAGUAUAAAGGGCCAACACACUAGAGUGCUCUCAAAGAGGUACAGUAUGUCAGAGAUGAAAGGUCAAGUCGUCGUCUUUCAGUCUUUAAGUUUCCUGUCGUUAAGUGCUUUAUGAUUUGGGACAGGGCGAGUGCAUGGUUUACUGAUUACCAAGAGAGAGUCAUCUGUCCAGCUCUUUCCUGGUGUGAUCUUUAGCUCUGAAAGUAGACCGGACACAGUUCUUGAGCUUGCACAAUUCGGAUCCCUCCUCUAAACUGAGCUCAGUACUAAUAAAUACAUUUCCAACUAAAGGAUCAGAUUUAUUUAAAAAAAAUAAUAAUAAUUGUAUCUCAGAUGGACUUUGUACACAGACUCAGUUAAUGUGUCUAUUCAAUAGAAAAUGCUGAUUUUAAAAAAACAAAACAAAACAAAAAAAAACAAUAAUGGUAGUGCUCCAGUUUCGGUGAAGUUAUACAUAGACGUAAAAGACAAACCAAUUCAAGGACAAAGUCGUGAAAAGCAAAAAGCCAAAAAAAAAAAGUGUGUGUAUGAGUGUGUCAGACUGACUGGAGCACUCCCACUGUUCAGUCCAGCUUGGCUGCAUCAUAAUCAUCGUACCAUUAUCAUAAGGGAUCUACUUGUCUAGAUAUGACAAAAUGAUACAAUUAUUUAAAUUUCCUUCCACUCUGACUGACCUUUUUGACACAUUAAAUUCAGCUCUUAAGCUUUUAUGACUACCAAACAUAGUCACUGCUGCUGCCAUUUCAUCACUCAGUGACAACAAAAGGACAGUAGCACUAAAAAAAAGUAGCUCUUUUGUUUCUUUCCUGUGUCUUGUUGAAUAGAAUGUUGUUCAAGAGUAAAGCCAUAUAUAUCGCAUAUGGUUAAGGACACCACUGGUACCAUGAACCACAAAUACUACAGGCAGGCUGAACAAAAACAACCGCUCCCACCAUCCUCGGCUUGCCAUUGUUGUGCAUGACGGACCCAUUCAGACUACCCUGUGUAUUUGCUUUUGCUUUAGGGAGGAGGGGGAGUCCAACGUAGUCUUGGAACGUUUGUAAUGAAACUCGUACAUACACGGAAGACAAUUUUUUUUUUUCUGUCUUGGCUUUCUUACUAAUCCUGUCUGAAACUCAUCCUCUCCUAGACUGAUCCAAGGAAAGCAUCAGACAAAUCUACCUCACCCCUCAACCCCUCCUUCCUUCUAGGAUUAUGAGCCAGCAGAGAUAGAAAAACAGCAAGACAUGUUCCAAGGUUGCUCCUUUCGAUCCCAUGUCUUAAAUUAGAAAACAGUACCUCAGUAAGACCAUGUUCACUUAAGUCAUUUGAGCACGAACACAUGGCAACGGCUGUAAACAACCGAGCCCGACCUGCAAGAGC